rnacentral:rRNA from 1 species
UACGUAGGCAGCAAGCGUUGUUCGGAGUUACUGGGCGUAAAGGGUGCGUAGGCGGCUUUUUAAGUUUGGUGUGAAAUCUCCCGGCUCAACUGGGAGGGUGCGCCGAAUACUGAGAGGCUAGAGUGUGGGAGAGGAAAGUGGAAUUCCUGGUGUAGCGGUGAAAUGCGUAGAUAUCAGGAGGAACACCGGUGGUGUAAACGGCUUUCUGGACCAUAACUGACGCUGAGGCACGAAAGCGUGGGUAGCAAACCGG